rnacentral:rRNA from 1 species
AUUGAACGCUGGCGGCAGGCCUAACACAUGCAAGUCGAGCGGUAGAGAGGUGCUUGCACCUCUUGAGAGCGGCGGACGGGUGAGUAAAGCCUAGGAAUCUGCCUGGUAGUGGGGGAUAACGCUCGGAAACGGACGCUAAUACCGCAUACGUCCUACGGGAUAAAGCAGGGGACCUUCGGGCCUUGCGCUAUCAGAUGAGC